rnacentral:lncRNA from 1 species
AUAACUGGGUCCGGAUGGAUUAGAGAUUUUUCUUUAACAGUGGUAACAACAGAAGCAACCUUAACAUGCUAAUUCUUAUCUAGACAUUGCCCUAAUGUGAUUCUCAAACAUGCUUUUCUAAAAUCAAUGCAAGUACAAAGACAUGCAUUCAUGACAUUAAGCAGACAUGAUGUUGAAUACACAUGGCAAACAAUCAAAGAUAAGACAAGAGCAAGAUAGGCAGUUAUGCAAUUCAGAAGAUUCAGUACUCUCUACUUAAACCAAUUAACACAAGUGCAACAGGUAGCAAGUAGAAUUACAUAUAUUCAAUAAUCUUCUAAGAGCAUAAGGAUCUGAUUCCAAUCUGUUGUUAUAUGUCAUUAUACUAUCUCUAUUACCUAAGUCAGUUUUAGAUCUAACAUGGAGUUCUAAAAGUACUAUUGACACAAGGUAGACAUUCCAUCAUAGAACAAAUAAAUUCCUUAACAAACAAUUCAGACUAGAUAAGCAAAUCUAAUUGUACUAGGGAAUCUGAAAGUAAGUGUUUUGUUCGCAAAAAUCUACACGCAAGCGCACGUGAUCAUAAGUAAUAUAUUUGUUCGUUCCCACAGAGACUGGUGAAUUAAGAAUACGCACCUAUGCAACAAUGUAUGAUCAAUUUUCACUGCCAAGACAAUUAGCAAGGAUGGUUUCUUUUAUACUAAUAACUAAAUUUACUAAUCAAAUUCAGAAUAGGAAAACACAUGGGAUUCUAACUUCAUUAUCGAAUUCAUCUAGAAUUGAAAUUACUGAUUAACAUGCGACUGUUGAUCCUAAUCAGACAACACGAAAGUAAUACAUGCCAACUCUCGUUGCACACAUAUCAUACCAAUCAAAAUCCGCAAUUAAGACAGAAAUCUCAUGGACACCAACAAAGCUCAGACCCUAUAUCUCUAUAGCGGUAGUGUAAGCAGAGAGGUUUAAUAGCAAGUCGUCUAUCGUGAUUACACAGGGUGAUAAAAAUAGUUCAAGUCUACCACAAAUUAUGUUUCAUUCACAUAAUCCUAUGUUUACAUGGCAUAGUUCUAAAUUCAAUCAUCCACUCUCGCUUCAGAAAGAAUUAACAAACAACUUAGAAGUUAGCUACGCUCCUAAGAAGAAUAAGCACGGCUCAUGCAAAGAAAUCAACGUACGUCACAAAAUCAAGUAAUUAAUAUUCGUUACUAGACUACAUCGAUAAAUCCAUUAGAAUCCCAUGAAGGCGGUUAGUUCAUAAUCGAACUAAUCGACAUCAUGGGUUCUAGUGAAAACAUUAUAAAUAAAAGACGAGAAUUCAAUGGAAUAAAAAUGCUUGAAUUAAUAAUAAGGAUCACACGUUAUAGAAUUGAUGUUCACGAUCUCGCUCGAAACUGUCACUUCCUCGCGAAGAACGAUCCAAUACAACUGAUAAUGUGUUUCGAUAAAAAUUAACUACGAUAUUGUUCUCUACUAAAACUACUUGGAGGCUAGGGUUUUACACAUGAGAAUUUAAAAUAAAUUGACCAAGUCAACCGGGCCUCGACCGCUGCUAAAAUCCGUCAGAAAAGCUUCAAAAAUCGGCCCUGGGCACUUCUGCUGGGCGCGGCCGCGCUAAACUAGCGCAGGCGCGCUAGUGGUGACAGUAGCUUUAGCGCGGGCGCGCUAAACUAAACAGACAUGAUGUUGAAUACACAUGGCAAAUAAUCAAAGAUAAGACAAGAGCAAGACAGGCAGUUAUGCAAUUCAGAAGAUUCAGUACUCGUACUUAAACCAAUUAACACAUGUGCAACAGGUAGCAAGUAGAAUUACAUAUAUUCAAUAAUCUUUGAAAAGCAUAUGGAUUAGACACAAGAAAUUAAUGAUCACAUUAUCAAUUCAUACUAGUCCCAAUCUGUUGUCAUAUGGCAUUAUUCUAUCUCUAUUACCAAAGUCAGUUUUAGAUCUAACAUGAAGUUCUAAAAGUUCUACUGACACAAGG